rnacentral:tRNA from 1 species
UAUUCAAAUAGCUUAAUUUAGAGCAUGAUAUUGAAGAUAUUAAGGUAAUAGUUAUAUUUUUGAAUAA